GACAGAGGGUGCAAACGUUGUUCGGAAUUAUUGGGCGUAAAGCGCGUGUAGGCGGCUUGGCAAGUCGGGUGUGAAAGCCCUGGGCUCAACCUAGGAAGUGCACUCGAAACUGCUUCGCUUGAGUGUCGGAGAGGAAAGCGGAAUUCUCGGUGUAGAGGUGAAAUUCGUAGAUAUCGAGAGGAACACCGGUGGCGAAGGCGGCUUUCUGGACGAUAACUGACGCUGAGACGCGAAAGCGUGGGGAGCAAACAGG
rnacentral:rRNA from 1 species